rnacentral:rRNA from 1 species
UACGUAGGGACCAAGCGUUGUUCGGAUUUACUGGGCGUAAAGGGCGCGUAGGCGGCGCGGUAAGUCACUUGUGAAAUCUCUGAGCUUAACUCAGAACGGCCAAGUGAUACUGCAGUGCUAGAGUGUGGAAGGGGCAAUCGGAAUUCUUGGUGUAGCGGUGAAAUUCGUAGAUAUUCGCAAGAACACCAGUGGCGAAGGCGGCUCACUGGCCCGAUACUGACGCUGAGGUGCGAAAGCGUGGGGAGCAAACAGG